GGUCAAGUUAUUAAGGGUGCAGGGCGGAUGCCUUGGCACUAGGAGCCGAUGAAGGACGUGAUAAGCUGCGAUAAGCUUCGGGGAGUUGCACGUAAACUUUGAUCCGAAGAUUUCCGAAUGAGGAAACUCACUUAGAGUAAUGUCUAAGUAUCAUUAAGUGAAUACAUAGCUUAAUGAGGGGAACUCAGGGAACUGAAACAUCUAAGUACCUGAAGGAAGAGAAAGAAAUUCGAUUCCGUAAGUAGCGGCGAGCGAACGCGGAUUAGCCCAAACCAAUAAAGUUUUCUUUAUUGGGGUUGCGGACAUAUCAUAACGAAGAGGUAUCGUAAUUGAAGAGGUUUGGAAAGACCCACCACAGAAGGUAAUAGUC
rnacentral:rRNA from 1 species